rnacentral:rRNA from 1 species
GACGGAGGAUGCAAGCGUUAUCCGGAAUGAUUGGGCGUAAAGCGUCCGCAGGUGGCAGUUCAAGUCUGCUGUCAAAGACCGGGGCUUAACUUCGGAAAGGCAGUGGAAACUGAACAGCUAGAGUAUGGUAGGGGCAGGUGGAAUUCCGGGUGUAGCGGUGGAAUGCGUAGAGAUCCGGAGGAACACCAGUGGCGAAGGCGACUUCCUGGCCUGUUCUUGACGCUGAGGCGCGAAAGCUGGGGGAGCAAACGGG